UUCUAACAGCAUUUUUACAUUGCAGAACAACACUGGUGCUUUAGCAGCAGCCUCUUGAGAAUCCACUUCUGUUAACUGAAGAGCAGUGUUUGGAGUAGGAUGACUACAGAUACUUUACCUCAGAUAAACCAUUCUGAAGCCAUGAGUUGUGGCCACAGCCUUCUGUAGAGUCUACAUAGAGUUUUCCACGGGUUAAGUGCAGUAGAAAGUCAUCAACACCAUGAUGCAGAGGUGGUCACCUGUGGCCCUGUGAGUUGUCUCUGGCCAGGUCCAGGACCAGAUAAUUCAUGAGAAGAGAGUUCUUCAGGUUUUCAAAGCGCUCAAGAAACACCAGGAGAUUGGCUAACUUGUUGAUUUUUAAAAUGCAAGUUGGAACUCUUUGGUCCCACGAUUCUAGAAGCUGAUGCAUGCAGUGAAAUAGUAGCUAUCAUGAAGAUUCAACACUGAGGAGUGGUGACGUGCCCACUGGAGGGAGGUCCUGAGAACACUGCUGGUUCCUCUCAGAUGAAAAUGGAGAGUUUUGACAUGGCCUGAAGCAGAGUGGAGAGGUACAGUGGAAACUGAAAGAUGGAGAAAGAGACAAGCGCAUAAUAGAAAUAUAUUUUUAUACAGAAACAAACAAGGUGAAGAGAAGGCUGAAGGCAAGGCACACAAAACAUGCUGCAUAGAUGGUGGUAAGUGAAAAAGCUAAUCUGAUCACCAACUGGCAGCAGUUCCCAAGGGAGCACAGAGAUUAGGCAGUGACCAGCCGUUGUAUGCCAUACCCUUUGUGAUCCUGUGUAUAUCUUCAGUAAUUGAUUAACAGGGCUUGUGGUGGGUUUAGUUCUGCUUGCACCAAAUAUGAGGCUUUCUCUUAUAUCCUAGGCCAGCAUGGUUAUAAAACCAAACUUGGGAAAAGCUUCUUUUUGAGUGCUGAAACUUUUCAGAUGCUGUAUGCUUUGGAAAAUCAGCUACCUAGUUAUCUGAUUGGGAAACAGGUACUUGCAAAACUCUCUGUGUGCUCAGUAAUCGAGUUUAUAUAUUGAUAGGGGAGACAGUAUAAAGCUGGGACAUCAAAGGCUUGCAAAUAGUGCUGUGGCUUCUCUAUCUUGACUUUUUUUUUUCCUCCUGACCAAGCUCGUUAUCCUAGCCAAAAUCACUCAAUAUUAGCAUCCCACCCGGGUUGCUGGAGUUAGCAAAGCUCUGGAGUUUCAUUUUUUCCUGCCCGCCUGUCGAGCAGUCUGGGCUCUUGGAGUGAAUUCUUCUGCUUCUGCAUGCAGGGCUUCUGAGAGACCGCCUGCGCUGAUGUGAAGUCCCUGUCCCUUGCUCCUAUUACAUGGGCAUUCAGUUUAAUAAUUGUGUGAGGAUGGCAGACCUGCUGCCAAAGCCCUGCGCAUCCAAAGUCAUUUGGUGAAGGAGUCCAUU
rnacentral:lncRNA from 1 species